rnacentral:rRNA from 1 species
GUCUAUGGCCAUAGCACCCUGAAUGCGUGAGAUCUCGUCUGCUCUCGGAAGCUAAGCAGGGUUGGGCCUGGGUAGUACUUGGAUGGGAGACCACCUGGGACUAUGGGGUGCUGUAGGCU